rnacentral:lncRNA from 1 species
GGAAGUAGAACAGUUGAAAAAAUGGGCUCCAUUAACACAAUCUUAAAUAAUCAAGUAAAUCACUUAAACAUUUUCUUAAAUAUUUUCUAUAACUAUUGUAAAUUUCCAGUAUUUGAUGUUCUUUGCAGAGGUCCAACUAUUGAAAUCAAUAUGUUUUAGGAUCAUCUGGGCCCCAAGUUAAAAACACUUCAUAGUUGAAAGUUUUUCAGUUGAGCAAUGUAGUAUGAAACAUGAAGCAGGAAAACCCUGAAAGCAGCUGAAGGAGAAGUAAAAAAUAAAUACGUGAACAUGCUCCCACUUGAUUUCAAAACUGCAGCGCUUUUGAAAUCGUAAUUCUUUUGUAGGUCCUGACUUUUGUGUUCCGAACACUUGGGAUUGGCCAUGCUUCAACAAGCAGAUUCAUGUGAGUUUUUGCAAUCAGGAGAAAAAAAAAAAGCAUUCAAGAAAAGGAACACUGCACCUUACGUACAGAGUCUACUUAUCAACAGUUAAAUCACCUUGCAGAGUGAGGCUCCUGGUUUAUGUGCUGUGCAACGUGGGGGCGGGACCCACGAGUUUAAAAGCAGAGGCAAGGACCUUUGUCACAGUGGCUGUGCCCUUGUGGCUCUGCUUGCCUGAUGCAUCAGAGACAAACCUGCAACUCCCCAUGUCCUGGCCAGCUCAGGAAACUUGGCUGCUGAGCAGAAGACAGCCCCACAUAUAG